UCAUUUAAAGAAAGCGUAAUAGCUCACUGGUCGAGUCGGCCUGCGCGGAAGAUGUAACGGGGCUAAACCAUGCACCGAAGCUGCGGCAGCGACACUGUGUGUUGUUGGGUAGGGGAGCGUUCUGUAAGCCUGUGAAGGUGUGUCGUGAGGCAUGCUGGAGGUAUCAGAAGUGCGAAUGCUGACAUAAGUAACGAUAAAGCGGGUGAAAAGCCCGCUCGCCGGAAGACCAAGGGUUCCUGUCCAACGUUAAUCGGGGCAGGGUGAGUCGACCCCUAAGGCGAGGCCGAAAGGCGUAGUCGAUGGGAAACGGGUUAAUAUUCCCGUACUUGGUGUUACUGCGAAGGGGGGACGGAGAAGGCUAUGUUGGCCGGGCGACGGUUGUCCCGGUUUAAGCGUGUAGGUGUGUGUUCCAGGUAAAUCCGGUUCACUUUAACACUGAGGCGUGACGACGAGGCACUACGGUGCUGAAGCAACAAAUGCCCUGCUUCCAGGAAAAGCCUCUAAGCAUCAGGUAACAUCAAAUCGUACCCCAAACCGACACAGGUGGUCAGGUAGAGAAUACCAAGGCGCUUGAGAGAACUCGGGUGAAGGAACUAGGCAAAAUGGUGCCGUAACUUCGGGAGAAGGCACGCUGACACGUAGGUGAAGUGAUUUACUCAUGGAGCUGAAGUCAGUCGAAGAUACCAGCUGGCUGCAACUGUUUAUUAAAAACACAGCACUGUGCAAACACGAAAGUGGACGUAUACGGUGUGACGCCUGCCCGGUGCCGGAAGGUUAAUUGAUGGGGUCAGCGCAAGCGAAGCUCCUGAUCGAAGCCCCGGUAAACGGCGGCCGUAACUAUAACGGUCCUAAGGUAGCGAAAUUCCUUGUCGGGUAAGUUCCGACCUGCACGAAUGGCGUAAUGAUGGCCAGGCUGUCUCCACCCGAGACUCAGUGAAAUUGAACUCGCUGUGAAGAUGCAGUGUACCCGCGGCAAGACGGAAAGACCCCGUGAACCUUUACUAUAGCUUGACACUGAACAUUGAGCCUUGAUGUGUAG
rnacentral:rRNA from 1 species